rnacentral:rRNA from 1 species
UACGUAGGCAGCGAGCGUUGUUCGGAAUUACUGGGCGUAAAGAGUGUGUAGGCGGUGUUCUAAGUUUGGUGUGAAAUCUCCCGGCUCAACUGGGAGGGUGCGCCGAAUACUGAAUGACUAGAGUGCGGGAGAGGAGAGUGGAAUUCCUGGUGUAGCGGUGAAAUGCGUAGAUAUCAGGAGGAACACCGGUGGUGUAGACGGCUCUCUGGACCGUAACUGACGCUGAGGCACGAAAGCGUGGGUAGCAAACAGG